rnacentral:rRNA from 1 species
UACGAAGGGGGCUAGCGUUGCUCGGAAUCACUGGGCGUAAAGGGUGCGUAGGCGGGUUUUUAAGUCAGGGGUGAAAUCCUGGAGCUCAACUCCAGAACUGCCUUUGAUACUGGGGAUCUCGAGUCCGGAAGAGGUAAGUAGAACUCCGAGUGUAGAGGUGAAAUUCGUAGAUAUUCGGAAGAACACCAGUGGCGAAGGCGGCUUACUGGUCCGGUACUGACGCUGAGGUGCGAAAGCGUGGGGAGCAAACAGG